rnacentral:rRNA from 1 species
CAACAGGGAUUGCCUUAGUAACGGCGAGUGAAGCGGCAACAGCUCAAAUUUGAAAUCUGGCUCUUUCAGAGUCCGAGUUGUAAUUUGCAGAGGGCGCUUUGGCUUUGGCAGCGGUCCAAGUUCCUUGGAACAGGACGUCACAGAGGGUGAGAAUCCCGUACGUGGUCGCUAGCUAUUGCCGUGUAAAGCCCCUUCGACGAGUCGAGUUGUUUGGGAAUGCAGCUCUAAAUGGGAGGUAAAUUUCUUCUAAAGCUAAAUAUUGGCCAGAGACCGAUAGCGCACAAGUAGAGUGAUCGAAAGAUGAAAAGCACUUUGGAAAGAGAGUCAAACAGCACGUGAAAUUGUUGAAAGGGAAGCGCUUGCAGCCAGACUUGCUUGCAGUUGCUCAUCCGGGCUUUUGCCCGGUGCACUCUUCUGCAGGCAGGCCAGCAUCAGUUUGGGCGGUGGGAUAAAGGUCUCUGUCACGUUCCUUCCUUCGGGUUGGCCAUAUAGGGGAGAUGUCAUACCACCAGCCUGGACUGAGGUCCGCGCAUCUGCUAGGAUGCUGGCGUAAUGGCUGUAAGCGGCCCGUCUUGAAACACGGACCAAGGAGUCUAACAUCUAUGCGAGUGUUUGGGUGUCAAGCCCGAGCGCGUAAUGAAAGUGAACGGAGGUGGGAACCCGCAAGGGCGCACCAUCGACCGAUCCUGAAGUUUACGGAAGGAUUUGAGUAAGAGCAUGGCUGUUGGGACCCGAAAGAUGGUGAACUAUGCUUGAAUAGGGUGAAGCCAGAGGAAACUCUGGUGGAGGCUCGCAGCGGUUCUGACGUGCAAAUCGAUCGUCAAAUUUGGGCAUAGGGGCGAAAGACUAAUCGAACU